rnacentral:tRNA from 1 species
GGCAAGGUAGCUCAGUCGGUAGAGCGAGGGACUGAAAAUCCCUGCGUCGGCGGUUCGAUUCCGCCCCUUGCCA